GAUGAACGCUGGCGGCGUGCCUAAUACAUGCAAGUCGAGCGAACGGACGAGCAGCUUGCUUCUCUGAUGUUAGCGGCGGACGGGCGAGUAACACGUGGAUAACCUCCCUAUAAGACUGGGAUAACUUCGGGAAACCGGGGCUAAUACCGGAUAAUCUUUUGCACCGCAUGGUUCCAAAGUGAAAGACGGGCUUGCUGUCCCUUCUAGAUGUAUCCGCGCUGCAUUAGCUAGUUGGUAAGGUAACGGCUUACCAAGGCAACGAUGCAUAGCCGACCUGAGAGGGUGAUCGGCCACACUGGAAGUGAGCCACGGUCCAGACUCCUACGGGAGGCAGCAGUAGGGAAUCUGCCGCAAUGGGCGAAAGCAUGACGGAGCAACGCCGCGUGAGUGAUGAAGGUCUUCGGAUCGGAAAACUCUGUUAUUAGGGAAGAACAUAUGUGUAAGUAACUGUGCACAUCUUGACGGUACCUAAUCAGAAAGCCACGGCUAACUACGUG
rnacentral:rRNA from 1 species